rnacentral:piRNA from 1 species
UUUGAUAUUAUUUUUCACACA